AACGAACGCUGGCGGCAUGCCUAACACAUGCAAGUCGAACGAGACCUUCGGGUCUAGUGGCGCACGGGUGCGUAACGCGUGGGAACCUGCCCGUAGGUUCGGAAUAACUCCCCGAAAGGGGUGCUAAUACCGGAUAAUGUCUUCGGACCAAAGAUUUAUCGCCUGUGGAUGGGCCCGCGUUGGAUUAGCUAGUUGGUAGGGUAUAAGCCUACCAAGGCGACGAUCCAUAGCUGGUCUGAGAGGAUGAUCAGCCACACUGGGACUGAGACACGGCCCAGACUCCUACGGGAGGCAGCAGUGGGGAAUAUUGGACAAUGGGCGAAAGCCUGAUCCAGCAAUGCCGCGUGAGUGAUGAAGGCCUUAGGGUUGUAAAGCUCUUUUACCCGGGAUGAUAAUGACAGUACCGUGAGAAUGAGCUCCGGCUAACUCCGUG
rnacentral:rRNA from 1 species